CUUCGGACUUAGUGGCGCACGGGUGCGUAACGCGUGGGAAUCUACCCUUAGGUGCGGAAUAACAGUUAGGAAUGACUGCUAAUACCGCAUAAUGACUCCGGUCCAAAGAUUUAUCGCCUAAGGAUGAGCCCGCGUAAGAUUAGCUAGUUGGUGAGGUAAAAGCUCACCAAGGCGACGAUCUUUAGCUGGUCUGAGAGGAUGAUCAGCCACACUGGGACUGAGACACGGCCCAG
rnacentral:rRNA from 1 species